GCACACCUACGGGGGGCAGCAGUGGGGGAUAUUGCACAAUGGGGGAAACCCUGAUGCAGCGACGCCGCGUGUGGGAAGACGGUCUUCUGGAUUGUAAACCACUGUCCCCAGGGACGAAAAUGACGGUACCUGGGGAGGAAGCUCCGGCUAACUACGUGCCAGCAGCCGCGGUAAUACGUAGGGAGCAAGCGUUGUCCGGAAUUACUGGGUGUAAAGGGAGUGUAGGCGGGGAUGAAAGUUGGGUGUCAAAACUACCGGCUCAACCGAUAGUCGCACUCAAAACCGCAGCUCU
rnacentral:rRNA from 1 species